rnacentral:rRNA from 1 species
GACGAACGCUGGCGGCGUGCUUAACACAUGCAAGUGGAGCGACGAACCGGGCUUCGGCCCGGGGCAAAGCCGCGAACGGGUGAGUAACACGUGGGUAACCUGCCUCGAUGAUCGGGACAACCCGGGGAAACCCGGGCUAAUACCGAAUGUGCUCCGUCCACAUCAGUGGACGGCGUAAAGGAAGCUUCGGCCUCCGCAUUGAGAUGGGCCCGCGGCCCAUUAGCUUGUUGGUGGGGUAAAGGCCCACCAAGGCUCCGAUGGGUAGCUGGUCUGCGAGGACGAUCAGCGACCCUGGGACUGAGAAACGGCCAGACUCCUACGGGAGGCAGCAGUGGGGAAUCUUGCGCAAUGCGCGAAAGCGGGACGCAGCAACGCCGCGUGGGGGAAGACGGCCUUAGGGUUGUAAACCCCUUUCAGGAGGGACGAAGGUCGGCGCGUUAAUAGCGGGUCCGACUGACGGUACCUCCACAAGAAGCCCCGGCUAACUACGUGCCAGCAGCCGCAGUAACAC